GUUUACCUUAAAAUGUCACCUGAUGUUAGUUGUCCCUCACUGAUUCAAGUAAUUUCCUUUAUUGAGGUGGAUCUGCCUGUUGGUGGAGAACCCUAGACUGCAUGCAGCCAUGCACAUGAUCUGGAGACACAGCAGAGACAAGGUCUUUGUCUGUUGCUCAGGAUGGAGUGUAGUGGUGCCAUAGCACACUGUAAUCUUGAAUUUCUGGACUACUGGCAUACACCACCAUGCUUAGGUUCGGGCCACAACAUCCGUGACUUUACCGGUUUUGGUCUCUUCCUUGUAACCUUCGGCUCCAGGAUGCUGCGCAGUUCCUCUCUGCACUAUCUAUCAGAAUGUUGCUCUGCGUGCUUGAAAGUUUCACCAAACAGAAGUACACAAGAACAAACAGAGGUGAAACACAAAUCCCCUCAGCCCUGGAGGAAAAGGCCUUGAAGCUCUUCCAGUGCAGAGGCCACGCAGAGGACAUGCUCCUACCUGUGCACAUCAGCCACGCCUGGGGUGCCUCCUGGAGUCCAGACUGCUGGCGAUGGAAUCCAUCAUGUUGCUGAUGUCACUGUAAGUCGCAGCCUGCAGGCUGAGCUAUGGGGCAGUUUGAG
rnacentral:lncRNA from 1 species